rnacentral:rRNA from 1 species
CCUACGGGGGGCAGCAGUGGGGAAUAUUGGGCAAUGGGCGCAAGCCUGACCCAGCAACGCCGCGUGAAGGAAGAAGGCUUUCGGGUUGUAAACUUCUUUUGUCAGGGAAGAGUAGAAGACGGUACCUGACGAAUAAGCCACGGCUAACUACGUGCCAGCAGCCGCGGUAAUACGUAGGUGGCAAGCGUUGUCCGGAUUUAUUGGGUGUAAAGGGCGUGUAGCCGGGUUGACAAGUCAGUUGUGAAAUCCUGCGGCUUAACCGCAGAACUGCAGUUGAAACUGUUGAUCUUGAGUACUGGAGAGGCAGACGGAAUUCCUAGUGUAGCGGUGAAAUGCGUAGAUAUUAGGAGGAACACCAGUGGCGAAGGCGGUCUGCUGGACAGCAACUGACGGUGAGGCGCGAAAGCGUGGGGAGCAAACAGGAUUAGAUACCCUAGUAGUC